ACCCUGAAAUAAAAAAAGUGCACCGGAAGUGAAACCAUUAGUUUACACAAGGGGGUGAUACACCCACUAUAAAUACCGAUCAGCGACAAAUCCGCACUGAGAGUUGGCAUGUUGACGGGCAUCCUGGUCGAGGAGGGGUCGGACCGGCACAUAUGCGUCUCGUGCUAAGGGGAGAAACAAAAUGGGGAGGCAAGCCUCCAGCUUCAGAUGACCAACAACAAUCAGACCCACGUUUCCCCUCCCAGCAGAUCCCCACCCCCCAUCUAACAGCCCCGGACCAGCGCAGGGCGACAGGGACGCGCUCGGUCCCGUCGGUCCCACGGCGGAGCGGAGCGGGAGGAGGACCGAGGCCUCUCCAUUUUCCAGCACUCACGCUCGACAUCGUGCAGCUUCGCUCGUUCCUCCUCCAGCUUCAGCUUCAGCGUCUCCGACUCCGUUUUGAGCGGCAGGCGGCGGAAAGGCUUACGGCGGAGCUAACAGCUGAUGCUGCUGUCAUGACGUCACGGGGAGAAGAUGCUCCUCCAGUUUCCAGAGGAGGAUCCUGGAUCUGGGGGAUGCUGAGCGCAUCCUGCCUCAAUGCUGUGAA